GACAUUCUGGUUGAGGUGCUUCUUGGAGAUGCUCUCUGCGUACUUGUCAAAGUUCCACUCCUCCAGAGUCUCCAUCCCUUCCUGUAAGGACCCAUGCAUCCAGCUUUCCUGUGGACAUAAACAUGAUGAUGGUGACUGAAGACUGUCAACUUGGACUCAUCUGUCUGCAGUUCUAGAUGUCCUUCCUGCAGCUAUUCUUUCCUUUAGUCAAGCAUCACAUUCAAUCACUGAAACACAUUGUUCUGUUCAGGAAUUCAAGUAAAUAAUUUCACAUCUUAA